rnacentral:rRNA from 1 species
CAGAUUGAACGCUGGCGGCAUGCCUUACACAUGCAAGUCGAACGGCAGCGCGGACUUCGGUCUGGCGGCGAGUGGCGAACGGGUGAGUAACAUAUCGGAACGUGCCCUGGAGUGGGGGAUAACUAGUCGAAAGACUAGCUAAUACCGCAUACGAUCUACGGAUGAAAGUGGGGGAUCGCAAGACCUCAUGCUCGUGGAGCGGCCGAUAUCUGAUUAGCUAGUUGGUGGGGUAAAGGCCUACCAAGGCAUCGAUCAGUAGCUGGUCUGAGAGGACGACCAGCCACACUGGGACUGAGACACGGCCCAGACUCCUACGGGAGGCAGCAGAAGGG